rnacentral:rRNA from 1 species
AUGCCGUCGUGGCCGAACAGCAACGAGACGUCGGACGACGAUGACGAGUACAUGAGCGAGUUCAGCAACAUGCAGAUGGAGUACUUUCAAACUCCUGACACUGUGAUAGACCCUAGUUUCUGUGGGCUUGUGACUGAAUCUGACAAAAGGUGCAUCCUGCACAGGCAGAGGGCAGGCAAGUUUGUGGCAUUUGAAGGCACUGACACUGGCAGGAGAUUCAUAGAAUGUGCUACUGAGGAUGGUGUGAACUGUGGUGUUCUGGAGUGGGUAGAUGCCCCCUGGCCUGUAAUUCUGCAAAGGUGCUUAAGCAAACUCUGGGAUAUGUAUCAUGAGCAGAACCUUGGUAGAGCCCAGGAUAAUGAGGCUCAUGGGAUAGAGGUUGCAAAACUGUAG